GUAGGUGGCAAGCGUUGUCCGGAAUUAUUGGGCGUAAAGCGCGCGCAGGCGGUCCUUUAAGUCUGAUGUGAAAGCCCACGGCUCAACCGUGGAGGGUCAUUGGAAACUGGGGGACUUGAGUACAGAAGAGGAAAGCGGAAUCCCAAGUGUAGCGGUGAAAUGCGUAGAGAUUUGGAGGAACACCAGUGGCGAAGGCGGCUUUCUGGUCUGUAACUGACGCUGAGGCGCGAAAGCGUGGGGAGCAAACAGGGAUUAGAUACCCUGGUAGUCCACGCCGUAAACGAUGAGUGCUAAGUGUUAGGGGGUUUCCGCCCCCUUAGUGCUGCAGCUAACGCAUUAAGCACUCCGCCUGGGGAUACGGCCGCAAGGCUG
rnacentral:rRNA from 1 species